AAAUUGAAGAGUUUGAUCAUGGCUCAGAUUGAACGCUGGCGGCAGGCCUAACACAUGCAAGUCGAGCGGUAGCACAGAGAGCUUGCUCUCGGGUGACGAGCGGCGGACGGGUGAGUAAUGUCUGGGAAACUGCCUGAUGGAGGGGGAUAACUACUGGAAACGGUAGCUAAUACCGCAUAACGUCGCAAGACCAAAGUGGGGGACCUUCGGGCCUCAUGCCAUCAGAUGUGCCCAGAUGGGAUUAGCUAGUAGGUGGGGUAACGGCUCACCUAGGCGACGAUCCCUAGCUGGUCUGAGAGGAUGACCAGCCACACUGGAACUGAGACACGGUCCAGACUCCUACGGGAGGCAGCAGUGGGGAAUAUUGCACAAUGGGCGCAAGCCUGAUGCAGCCAUGCCGCGUGUGUGAAGAAGGCCUUCGGGUUGUAAAGCACUUUCAGCGGGGAGGAAGGCGGUAAGGUUAAUAACCUCAUCGAUUGACGUUACCCGCAGAAGAAGCACCGGCUAACUCCGUGCCAGCAGCCGCGGUAAUACGGAGGGUGCAAGCGUUAAUCGGAAUUACUGGGCGUAAAGCGCACGCAGGCGGUCUGUCAAGUCGGAUGUGAAAUCCCCGGGCUCAACCUGGGAACUGCAUUCGAAACUGGCAGGCUAGAGUCUUGUAGAGGGGGGUAGAAUUCCAGGUGUAGCGGUGAAAUGCGUAGAGAUCUGGAGGAAUACCGGUGGCGAAGGCGGCCCCCUGGACAAAGACUGACGCUCAGGUGCGAAAGCGUGGGGAGCAAACAGGAUUAGAUACCCUGGUAGUCCACGCCGUAAACGAUGUCGAUUUGGAGGUUGUGCCCUUGAGGCGUGGCUUCCGGAGCUAACGCGUUAAAUCGACCGCCUGGGGAGUACGGCCGCAAGGUUAAAACUCAAAUGAAUUGACGGGGGCCCGCACAAGCGGUGGAGCAUGUGGUUUAAUUCGAUGCAACGCGAAGAACCUUACCUGGUCUUGACAUCCACAGAACUUUCCAGAGAUGGAUUGGUGCCUUCGGGAACUGUGAGACAGGUGCUGCAUGGCUGUCGUCAGCUCGUGUUGUGAAAUGUUGGGUUAAGUCCCGCAACGAGCGCAACCCUUAUCCUUUGUUGCCAGCGGUCCGGCCGGGAACUCAAAGGAGACUGCCAGUGAUAAACUGGAGGAAGGUGGGGAUGACGUCAAGUCAUCAUGGCCCUUACGACCAGGGCUACACACGUGCUACAAUGGCAUAUACAAAGAGAAGCGACCUCGCGAGAGCAAGCGGACCUCAUAAAGUAUGUCGUAGUCCGGAUUGGAGUCUGCAACUCGACUCCAUGAAGUCGGAAUCGCUAGUAAUCGUAGAUCAGAAUGCUACGGUGAAUACGUUCCCGGGCCUUGUACACACCGCCCGUCACACCAUGGGAGUGGGUUGCAAAAGAAGUAGGUAGCUUAACCUUCGGGAGGGCGCUUACCACUUUGUGAUUCAUGACUGGGGUGAAGUCGUAACAAGGUAACCGUAGGGGAACCUGCGGUUGGAUCACCUCCUUACCUUAAAGAA
rnacentral:rRNA from 1 species